CGAAAGAUCAUGGAUAUAAGACGUUUUUUCAAAAACAAGGAGGCUGACUCGGCUGAGGCUCACGUCUCCGGGGAGCCGUUACCAGAAACAGCAGAUUCAAAGGAUGGAAGGAAUGAGCAGAUGGAGAAAAAAGAGCAGCAGAGACAGAGGUGCAACACAACACAGUAGGGGUGGAAGGAAAAAUAAAAUACCAAAAAUUAAACUGA